AGUGGAGUGCUGUAAAGUUUGAGGUGGACAGGAUGUGCAAGGAGCCAUGCUUUAGCUGCCCUGCCUGCACUCCAGACAUGCUCGCCGUCUCAGUUGAUGGAAACCGCAAGCUUUAUCGCUUUCAGUCUAAUGCAAGCACUUCAGAGCAGGGGAACUUUGAAGGUGUCUUCAUUGAAAAAGAUGAGGAAGUUGCUGAGUUUGUGAAAUACAUCCAGAGACACACAAAUCAUGUCCCGGGGAAAGGG